GCUCAGGUGCGAAAGCGUGGGGAGCAAACAGGAUUAGAUACCCUGGUAGUCCACGCCGUAAACGAUGUCGACUUGGAGGUUGUGCCCUUGAGGCGUGGCUUCCGGAGCUAACGCGUUAAGUCGACCGCCUGGGGAGUACGGCCGCAAGGUUAAAACUCAAAUGAAUUGACGGGGGCCCGCACAAGCGGUGGAGCAUGUGGUUUAAUUCGAUGCAACGCGAAGAACCUUACCUGGUCUUGACAUCCACAGAACUUUCCAGAGAUGGAUUGGUGCCUUCGGGAACUGUGAGACAGGUGCUGCAUGGCUGUCGUCAGCUCGUGUUGUGAAAUGUUGGGUUAAGUCCCGCAACGAGCGCAACCCUUAUCCUUUGUUGCCAGCGGUCCGGCCGGGAACUCAAAGGAGACUGCCAGUGAUAAACUGGAGGAAGGUGGGGAUGACGU
rnacentral:rRNA from 1 species